rnacentral:rRNA from 1 species
AUUGAACGCUGGGGCAUGCUUUACACAUGCAAGUCGGACGGCAGCACAGAGAAGCUUGCUUCUUGGGUGGCGAGUGGCGAACGGGUGAGUAAUAUAUCGGAACGUACCGAGUAAUGGGGGAUAACUAAUCGAAAGAUUAGCUAAUACCGCAUAUUCUCUGAGGAGGAAAGCAGGGGACCUUCGGGCCUUGCGUUAUUUGAGCGGCCGAUAUCUGAUUAGCUAGUUGGUGGGGUAAAGGCCUACCAAGGCGACGAUCAGUAGCGGGUCUGAGAGGAUGAUCCGCCACACUGGGACUGAGACACGGCCCAGACUCCUACGGGAGGCAGCAGUGGGGAAUUUUGGACAAUGGGCGCAAGCCUGAUCCAGCCAUGCCGCGUGUCUGAAGAAGGCCUUCGGGUUGUAAAGGACUUUUGUCAGGGAAGAAAAGGCUGUUGCUAAUAUCGACAGC